UCUCUCUCUCUCUGCCCCUCCCCUGCUCAUGCAUGCACUCUUUCUCUCUCUCUCUCUCAAAAUAAAUAAAAAUAAGCUUAAACAAAAAAACUCUAUAAAGAAUUGACACAAAAACUGGUAGGACUAUAUAAAUAAAUUCAGCAAAGUAGCAGAUACAAAGCCAACACAGAAAAGUCAGGAGCAUUUCUAUACGUAAACAAUCAACAAUCUGGAAAGAAAAUUACAAAACAAUUCCAUUUAUAAUAACAUCAAAAUGUAUAAAAUACUUGAGAAUUAACCCAGGAGACUAAAGACUUCUACAAUGAAAACUACAAAUCAUUGCUGAAAGAAAUUAAAGGCAUAAAUGGUAACAUACACCAUGUUCAUGGAUUAGAAGAUUUGAUAUUGUUCAGAUGUUCAUACUACCCAACGUGAUACACAAAUUUAAUAUAAUCUCUAUAAAAAUCUCAACAACAAUUUUUGCACAAAUAGAAAAACCCAUCCUAAAAUCCAUAUGGAAUCUCAAGGGACUCUGAACAGCCAAAACAACCUUGAAAAAGAAAACUGGAGGACCCAUACUUGAUUUCAAAACUUACUACAAAGCUAUAAUAACUAAAAUAGUGUGGUGCUGGUAUAAAGACAGAUAUAUAUACCAAUAGAAAUGAAUAGACAGCCCAGAAAUAAACCCUCACCACACACAGUCACAUGAUUUUGGACAAUGGUAUCAAGUUUAUUCAAUGCAGAAACGGCAGUCUUUUCAACAAAUGGCCCUGAAGAAUGUGGCUAUCCACAUGCAAAAGAAUGAAGUUGGACUCCUACCUAACCCCAUAUACAAAAAUUAACCCAAAAUGGAUCCAUGAACUAAAGAAAACAUAGUAACCAUACAGAAUCAGGAUUGAGAAAAUUACUUGAAGAAUAUUCUGCAAAGCCAUCUUCUCCCAAUUCCAGAAUCAUCCGCUGUUUCCACCUCUCCAAGUAGAAAAUCUGUUCUGAUGUCAUGGUCUGUUGAAGGACCUUGGUCACACUUGGAAUCGUGUUUCUUUGCAAAGGGAUUCUCAAAGGAAUUGUAGGAGUACUUGUUGCAUUUGGUUUCAUGCUUUUCUCUGGAUUGAAGAGAGGACACCAGUUUCCUGGAACUUUUGCCGCCUCAUCUUGCUUUGGGGGCUUACACUUACUCACAGGUCCAUACAGUAAAUUAUCCUCCUCGAACAAUGAUUCUGGAGUCUGAGCAAGGCCUCUGGAUGACAAGACAGACUGUACUAAAUCAGAAUACCUUCCUUGGUCCACUUCGUCAUAAG